GUGUGCGUAAUUUAAAGAAAAUAUCAAGCUGUGACCUUGACAAUAGGAACCCCUCGCACACC
rnacentral:tRNA from 2 species